GCGGCCUGAUUCCUUGAUGUUUUCAAGCCCUUCCUGCAAGCUCAGGUCGGUGUCUUGGCUCCCCUGGUGCUUACCUCCUCUGUGGAAACACCUGCCAGAUGGAAUGCUGAAGCCCAUUCCUCUGGAACCCUUCCCCGCCGCUCUCUGCCCACCCGUCCUGCCCCUCCCACCCCCUCGCAGGGCGGCUGUGCACCUGUGCAGUCUGCGCACCCAUUCAUGGAGGUGACAUCGGACUCACCCCUCUUCCUAUCUACGCUACCCACAGGCGGCCUCCCUAAGCAGGUGUCUACCCUGACAGGAUGGCCGGCCGAUGGUGGUUUGCAGAGCAGAGCUGUCCCCACGAUGGGGCAUCCCCACGAUGGGGCGUCCCCACGAUGGGCUCUGUGACAAGUGCUUAGGAACACCGCCCUGUGUACUUCUCAGCUGUCUAUGGAAGAGUGAUGAAGUUCCAGGCCCAGGGCUCUGCUAAGGAGAUAGGAAGCAGCUUUGUCGAUGGGAUUCUCAGACCAGCCAGAAGAACGUGAAGGGCAGAGGAAAGGUUCUCCUCGCCAACAGAGAUAACCCACGGGACACCCAGGGAGUUGUUUCUCACCCCAGUCCUGAAGGGCACAGACCAUCUGGCAGCUUCCAAAGGAAGGCUUUGCCCUCCCUGCCUUGGACUGGACAUCCAAAUGCUGACCUAGGGAGACCAGAGGCCACUCUUGAGCUGCCUGAACACUCAGUGAUCUCCGAUCAACAGGGCCUCAGUGUGACCUGGGGGCUUCUGAGCCUGAGAAUGACGGUGGCUUUCGUGUGGCAAGACUGUCUUCUCCGAAGGAAGGAGGGCUGUGGAGGCCCCGGUGUCUGAGCCAGGUCUCAACUCCCCCAGCCGACUGUUCUGCGUUAGAACUGCUUGUCCGAAACUAGGAAAUGCUAAAAGCACAUUUAUCACUAUCUUACUGAGGCCUGAGGAAAAGGUUUUGCCAAAAACAAACAGUCUGGAACCCAGAGCUUUAACCGGAUGAAGAGAUUCUAAUCUUUAAGAAUUGCUGAUACUUAAACAAACCAUCCUGUCAAAGGACUUUGCACUCUGGUGUUGUCUCCCUGAAAGCUCCAGGCACCAUCCCGGCAUCCGUCAGGCCAGUGUCUGUGAGGUAGACAAGUGUGUUUCUCUUUACAUGGGCUGAGA